CACGAUCAGUGCGAGGAGGGUCAGAAAUGCCGCUGUUCCCACCAGCACCAGUGCCCAACAAAAGGUUCCUGCGAGCAGAUCGGAGGGCAACAUGCAGAGGUUCUGAGAACGACACGUGCCCUUCAUCGUCAGUGGCUCGCGCGCACAGGGGGCAAGGUGGUUCAUGGACUUCUGUCUUGGCAGUGCUUUCCUCCAAGCAAUCCGCGUGGAAGACAUGUCGGCAAGGCAGAACUGCUGCCACUGGCAUGUCGGCGUUUCGAACAAUCCUGUUCGAGGUCCAGGGUGAUUUCUGGUGCAGGAAUCUCUCGCACAGCCCACACUUCAGGAACCUCGCUGAGCUCGUGGGAGAUCUCUGGGACUCGAUGCUGAU
rnacentral:misc_RNA from 1 species